AUUGAACGCUGGCGGAAUGCUUUACACAUGCAAGUCGAACGGUAGAGGGGGCAACCCCUCGAGAGUGGCGAACGGGUGAGUAAUAUAUCGGAACGUGCCCAGUCGUGGGGGAUAACGUAGCGAAAGUUACGCUAAUACCGCAUACGAUCUAAGGAUGAAAGCGGGGGAUCGCAAGACCUCGCGCGAUUGGAGCGGCCGAUAUCAGAUUAGGUAGUUGGUGGGGUAAAGGCUCACCAAGCCAACGAUCUGUAGCUGGUCUGAGAGGACGACCAGCCACACUGGAACGGAGACACGGUCCAGACUCCGACGGGAGACAGCAGUGGGGAAUUUUGGACAAUGGACGCAAGUCUGAUCCAGCCAUUCCGCGUGCAGGAUGAAGGCCUCGGGUUGUAAACUGCUUUUGUACGGAACGAAAAGGUCUCUCUUAAUACGGGGGACUCAUGACGGUACCGUAAGAAUAAGCACCGGCUAACUACGUGCCAGCAGCCGCCGUAA
rnacentral:rRNA from 1 species